rnacentral:rRNA from 1 species
UGCGGGGUAGGGGAGCGUUGUGUAAGCGGAGAAACAGUAGCGGAAGCGGCUGUGGAGUUUACAGAAGUGAGAAUGCCGGAAUGAGUAGCGCGAAUGAUGUGAGAAUCAUCAUGGCCGGAAACCUCAGGUUUUUGGAGGAAGGUUCGUCCGCUCCAAGUUAGGCGGGAGCUAAGGUGAGGCCGAAAGGCGUAGCCGAUGCACAGACGGUAGAGAUUCCGUCCCCACCGAAAGAUUUAAGCGCAGGGACACUUUUAGAAGGUCGGAGCCAGGUGUUGGUUCUGGUAGAGAUCGAGGGAAAUUUAGUACCGAAGUCCGGCUGGAUAAGAGGCGAGAAAAGCUGCGUGUAUAUCUAAGGUGCCCGUACCGCAAACCGACACAGGUAGGUAGGAAGAAGAUUCUAAGGCCAACGGGAGAAGGGUUGUUAAGGAACUCGGCAAGUUGACCCCGUAACUUCGGAAUAAGGGGUGCUCAUGAAAGUGAGCCGCAGAGAAUAGGCCCAGGCAACUGUUUACCAAAAACACAGGUUUGUGCUAAAUCGAAAGAUGACGUAUACGAGCUGACGCCUGCCCGGUGCUGGAAGGUUAAAAGGAGAUGUGCAAGCAUUGAAUUGAAGCCCCAGUGAACGGCGGCCGUAACUAUAACGGUCCUAAGGUAGCGAAAUUCCUUGUCAGGUAAGUUCUGACCCGCAUGAAAGGCGUAAUGAUCUGGGCACUGUCUCAACAGCCCGCCCGGCGAAAUUGUAGUACCGGUGAAGAUGCCGGUUACCCGCGACAAGACGGAAAGACCCCAUGGAGCUUUACUGUAGCCUAAUAUUGGGUUUCGGUGUUGCAUGCACAGGAUAGAUGGGACGCUGGGAAGUGAGUGCUUUGGCAUUCAUGGAGCGGCCGUUGGGAUACCAUCCUUGCGACAUUGGAAUUCUAACCUGCGCCUUUGAAUCAAGGCGGGGGACAUUGUUAGGUGGGCAGUUUGACUGGGGCGGUCGCCUCCUAAAGAGUAGCGGAGGCGUUCAAAGGUUGGCUCGUCCUGGACGGAAACCAGGAGAGAGAGUGCAAACGCAAAAGCCAGCCUGACUGCGAGACUGACGGGUCGAGCAGAGACGAAAGUCGGAGUUAGUGAUCCGGUGGUAUGUGAGUGGAAAUGCCAUCGCUCAACGGAUAAAA